CGGGGAUAACCGAUGGAAACGUCGCCUAACCCCCAAUAACACAUCAGACCGCAUGAUCCGAUGUUGAAAACCCUGGUGGUCACGGAUUGGCUCGCGUCCCAUUAGCUAGUCGGCGGGGUAACGGCCCACCGAGGCGACGAUGGGUAGGGGUUCUGAGAGGAAGGUCCCCACAAUGGAACUGAGACACGGUCCAUACUCCUACGGGAGGCAGCAGUGAGGAAUAUUGGUCAAUGGGCGGAAGCCUGAACCAGCCAUGCCGCGUGCGGGAAGACGGCCCUAUGGGUUGUAAACCGCUUUUGAGUGGGAGCAAUAAGGACGUCGUGCACGUCUGAUGAGAGUACCAUUCGAAUAAGCAUCGGCUAACUCCGUGCC
rnacentral:rRNA from 1 species